UACAGAGGGUGCGAGCGUUGUCCGGAAUCACUGGGCGUAAAGGGCGCGUAGGCGGCUUUUCAAGCGUGCGGUGAAAGCUCGGGGCUUAACUCCGAGUCUGCCGUGCGAACUGGGAGGCUUGAGUCUGGUAGAGGUCGAUGGAAUUCCGGGUGUAGCGGUGGAAUGCGUAGAGAUCCGGAAGAACACCGGUGGCGAAGGCGGUGAGCUGGGCAGUUGCUGACACUGAGGCGCGACAGCGUGGGGAGCAAACAGG
rnacentral:rRNA from 1 species